GUGGGGAAUCUUCCGCAAUGGACGAAAGUCUGACGGAGCAACGCCGCGUGAACGAUGACGGCCUUCGGGUUGUAAAGUUCUGUUAUACGGGACGAAUGGUACGACGGUCAAUACCCGUCGUAAGUGACGGUACCGUAAGAGAAAGCCACGGCUAACUACGUGCCAGCAGCCGCGGUAAUACGUAGGUGGCAAGCGUUGUCCGGAAUUAUUGGGCGUAAAGGGCGCGCAGGCGGCGUCGUAAGUCGGUCUUAAAAGUGCGGGGCUUAACCCCGUGAGGGGACCGAAACUGCGAUGCUAGAGUAUCGGAGAGGAAAGCGGAAUUCCUAGUGUAGCGGUGAAAUGCGUAGAUAUUAGGAUGAACACCAGUGGCGAAAGCGGCUUUCUGGACGACAACUGACGCUGAGGCGCGAAAGCCAGGGGAGCAAACGGGAUUAGAAACCCGAGUAGUCC
rnacentral:rRNA from 1 species